rnacentral:misc_RNA from 1 species
AGCAGCCGCGGUAAUUCCAGCUCCAAUAGCGUAUAUUAAAGUUGUUGCAGUUAAAAAGCUCGUAGUUGAAUUUCGGGGUUAGUAGGUUGGUCAUGCCUCUGGUAUGUACUGGUCUCACUGAUUCCUCCUUCCUGAUGAACCUUAAUGCCAUUAAUUUGGUGUUUUGGGGAAUUUGGACUGUUACUUUGAAAAAAUUAGAGUGUUUAAAGCAGGCAUUUUUGCUUGAAUACAUUAGCAUGGAAUAAUAAAAUAGGACGGCACGGUUCUAUUUUUGUUGGUUUCUAGGACCACCGUAAUGAUUAAUAGGGAUAGUUGGGGGCAUUAGUAUUCAAUUGUCAGAGGUGAAAUUCUUGGAUUUAUUGAAGACUAACUACUGCGAAAGCAUUUGCCAAGGAUGUUUUCAUUAAUCAAGAACGAAAGUUAGGGGAUCGAAGACGAUCAGAUACCGUCGUAGUCUUAACCAUAAACUAUGCCGACUAGGAAUCAGACGAUGUUAAUUUUUUAAUGACUCGUUUGGCAC